rnacentral:tRNA from 1 species
UAGAAUGAAGCUCGCUGGAUUGAGCGUUUAGCUGUUAACUAAAAUGUCGCGGGGUCGUAGCCCGUCUUUCUAG